rnacentral:rRNA from 1 species
CUGACGGGCUAUUGGAUCGCUAAGCCUGCGAGUCGAGAGGGUUCGGCCCUCGGCUGACGGCUCAGUAACACGUGGAUAAUCUGCCCUAAGGUGGAGGAUAACCUCGGGAAACUGAGAAUAAUACUCCAUAGGUCUAGGAUGCUGGAAUGCACUUAGGCUAAAAACUUCGGUGCCUUAGGAUGAGUCUGCGGACUAUCAGGUUGUAGUCAGGGUAAAGACCUGACUAGCCUACGACGGAUACGGGUUGUGAGGGCAAUAACCCGGAGAUGAUAUCUGAGACACGAUAUCAGGCCCUACGGGGCGCAGCAGGCGCGAAAACUUCGCACUGCGCGAAAGCGCGACGAGGGAAUCCCAAGUGUAUGCACGUAAGUGUAUACUGUUUCUCUGUCUAAAAAGCAGAGAGAGUAAGAGCUGGGUAAGACGGGUGCCAGCCGCCGCGGUAAUACCUGCAGCUCGAGUGGUGAUCGUUAUUAUUGGGCCUAAAACGUCCGUAGCCGGUCUUCUAAAUGCCUGGGUAAAUCGUAUGGCUUAACCAUACGAAUUCUGGGUAGACUGUUAGACUUGAGACCGGGAGAAGCUAGAGGUACUCCUGGGGUAGAGGUGAAAUUCUGUAAUCCUAGGGGGACGACCAGUGGCGAAGGCGUCUAGCUAGAACGGGUCUGACGGUGAGGGACGAAGCCCUGGGGCGCAAACGGGAUUAGAUACCCCGGUAGUCCAGGGUGUAAACGCUGCUUGCUUGAUGUUAGUCUGGCUCCGAGCCAGAUUAGUGUCGGAGAGAAGUUGUUAAGCAAGCUGCCUGGGAAGUACGGCCGCAAGACUGAAACUUAAAG